AGUCAAUAGAUACCCCGGUAGUCCACGCUGUAAACGAUGUCGAUUUGGAGUCUGUGCCACUAUGAGCGUGGGGUUCCGAAAGCUAACGCGAUAAAUCGACCGCCUGGGGAGUACGGCCGCAAGGUUAAAACUCAAAUGAAUUGACGGGGGCCCGCACAAGCGGUGGAGCAUGUGGUUUAAUUCGAUGCAACGCGAAGAACCUUACCUGGCCUUGACAUGCUGAGAACUUUCCAGAGAUGGAUUGGUGCCUUCGGGAGCUCAGACACAGGUGCUGCAUGGCUGUCGUCAGCUCGUGUCGUGAGAUGUUGGGUUAAGUCCCGCGACGAGCGCAACCCCUAUCCUUUGCUGCCAGCGGGUAAUGCCGGGAACUCAA
rnacentral:rRNA from 1 species